rnacentral:rRNA from 1 species
UACGGAGGAUCCGAGCGUUAUCCGGAUUUAUUGGGUUUAAAGGGUGCGUAGGCGGUUUGAUAAGUUAGAGGUGAAAUGUCGGGGCUCAACCCCGAAACUGCCUCUAAUACUGUUGGACUAGAGAAUAGUUGCGGUAGGCGGAAUGUAUGGUGUAGCGAUGAAAUGCUUAGAGAUCAUACAGAACACCGAUUGCGAAGGCAGCUUACCAAACUAUAUCUGACGUUGAGGCACGAAAGCGUGGGUAGCAAACAGG